AAAGCAGCCCAGGAAGCGCU
rnacentral:miRNA from 1 species